CCCUCUGAAAUCCCUAAUCUUCAGACUUUUCUUCACUCCCGUUUUCUUCAGACUUUUCAUAUCCCGCUUCCUUCUCAUUAUCUCUCUCUCUUAGUUUCAUUUUAAUAUUUCCCCUCAUUCUUUUUCGUGAGAGGGAGAAACCCAAAGAUUUUGUCUGUCGUUUUUUUUUGGUGAUAUUGAAAUCCCCUGUUUUCGCUAUGUGUUUGAAAUCUAUCGAUGCCGGUCUAUCUGUUUCUUUUUGGUUUUUUUAUUGUCUACUUUCGUGAGGGAUAAUCCCUAAGCUUUCUAUUGCUAAACUCACUGUUUCACUCUUUGUUUGAAAUCUAUUGUUGUGGGUCUGUCUAUUUCUUUUUGGUUGCUUUGUCGGAGACUGAUUUCAGUUUUCAGGUUUAGGCAUCUGAGCUUUUGGAGCCGUUCUACCUUAACUCUUUGGAUUGUCUGUUUCUUUAGACAAUUCUUUGGGUCAGUCACAAAGGUUGAUUACCUGACAUUGAGGCAUGGAUUUAUCAUGGCACAUUUGGCACCUGAAAACGAAACAAAAUUUGAUUUCUAGAAAUACAUCAAGAGAUCAUUAGAGGAUGAUUUUAAAGUUGUUGUAGGGAUCAGUAUGAAUUUACGAUAAGAUCUUGCUACCAUGAACAUAUUGAAGACGUCAUCAUUAAAGUCUCAAUGGGGAUUAUCAUACAGUUCCUUUUCAGUUAUGUGACUCUUCCACUCUAUGCUUUGGUGACUCAGGUAAGAUAUACAUAAUAGAAACUUGCAGUUCUCAUAUUCUGAUCUAUGAUAAGCCUGGAACAAGUUAAGACCAUGAUAAUGGAAAGUUCACCGAGGAAGCUGGGCAGUUUAAUGGGCUUGAUGUUCUUAGAGAUGGUAAUGCUGCAGUUAUCAAAUACUUGGAUGAAAAAUUGACCAUUAUAAUGGAAGAAUUAUAUGAUGGAGGAUUUUACGGAAAAGGAAAGGGAGCUUCGAACUAGUUCACUAACUAGAAAACAACCAAAUACUGGGUCAAAAGAAACCAGCUUAGAUGAAGUGCUAUGUAGGCACAAGGAGAGAAAACCUUUUGCCUAUGGACUUUGUAAUGAAUGUUAUGAAGAGUUCAUGAAGGUUUCAGGAGGGCUUGAUGGAGGAUCAGAUCCACCUGUAUUCCAAUAAGUCUUU